AUCGAACGCUGGCGGCAGGCCUAACACAUGCAAGUCGAGCGGGCGGCGGACGGGUGAGUAAUGUAUGGGGACCUGCCCGACAGAGGGGGAUAACUACUGGAAAACGUGGCUAAUAGCGCAUACUAUCGGAUGAACCCACAUGGGAUGUGCUAGUAGGGGGGGUAAAGGCUCACCUAGGCGACGAUGUCUAGCUGGUCUGAGAGGAUGAUCGGCCACACUGGGACUGAGACACGGCCCAGACUCCUACGUGAGGCAGCAGUGGGGAACAUUGCGCAAUGGGCGCAAGCCUGAAGCAGCCAUGCCGCGUGUAUGAAGAAGGCCUUCGGGUUGUAAAGUACUUUCAUCGGGGAGGCGUUACCCGCAGAAGAAGCACCGGCUAACUCCGUGCCAGCAGCCGCGGUAAUUC
rnacentral:rRNA from 1 species